rnacentral:rRNA from 1 species
AGAGUUUGAUCCUGGCUCAGGAUCAACGCUGGCGGCGUGCCUAAUGCAUGCAAGUCGCACGGACCAUCUUCGGGUGGUCAGUGGCGAACGGCUGAGGAACACGUGCGUAUCUGCCUUCUCGUGGGGAAUAACGGGUGGAAACACCCGCUAAUACCGCGUACGCUCACGCAAGUGAGGAAAGCCCUUCGGGGCGCGGGGAGAGGAGCGCGCGGCCCAUCAGGUAGAUGGCGGGGUAAUGGCCCACCAUGCCGGUGACGGGUCGCUGGUCUGUGAGGAUGACCAGCCAGACUGGGACUGCGACACGGCCCAGACACCUACGGGUGGCAGCAGCAAGGAAUCUUCGGCAAUGGGCGCAAGCCUGACCGAGCAACGCCGCGUGGAGGACGACGGCCUUCGGGUUGUAAACUCCUUUUCUGCGGGAAGAUACGGACGGUACCGCAGGAAUAAGCCCCGGCUAACUCUGUGCCAGCAGCCGCGGUAAUACAGAGGGGGCAAGCGUUGUCCGGACUUACUGGGCGUACAGCGCGCGCAGGUGGUCGGCUAAGUUCGUGGUGACAGCGUGCGGCUCAACCGCACAGGGUCCAUGGAGACUGGUCGACUAGAGGCAUCGAGAGGGAUACGGAAUACCCGGUGGAGCGGUGAAAUGCGUAGAGAUCGGGUGGAACACCAGCGGCGAAGGCGGUAUCCUGGCGAUGACCUGACACUGAGGCGCGACAGCGUGGGGAGCAAACGGGAUUAGAUACCCCGGUAGUCC